AAUACUUAUUAAUAAAAAUAUUUUCAUAUUUACGAUUUGUAUGAGUGCGAAAAGAAAAAGAGUUCACAAUAAAUAUUUAAAAAAUGCAAUUUGAUAUUUGAAAUUAUUUUAUAUUUGUUAGGUUGGAUUGUUCCCAUGUAAAUACUAUGGGUGUAUAUAUUCGAUCGAGCCUGACAUGUGUUUGCAGAUGAAAUUGUUCGUUACAGAUUAGAACUUGAUUCCAAGGUUUAUAUUUAUAAGUUUCCACUUUGAUUUUUAUAUAAAUCCUAAUAGUCAUAAUCAGCAAGAGUACAACAAAUAAUGUCGACGAUGAAAGGUUCACUCAGUAAAUGGACAAAUGUUAAUGGAUGACAAUAUCAGUGGUUUGUUUUAGAUGUCAGAUAAUGGUGGCUUAUUAUCAUAUUAUAUUGUUUUAUGCGGGGUGCUCGUAGAGGAUGUGAAUGAUUAAGAGGUACUGAUGAUGAAAAUGACAAUACAUUUACAAUAACUACAUCAUCAUACAAAGAUGAUCUGAAAACUUUUCAUUUUCAAAUACGUAAUGGUGAAGAACAUAAACGUUGGAUCCAUGCUCUAGAAGAUACAAUACUGCAUCACUCGCAUGCAGUAUGACUACAAACACAUCAUUUUAUUUUUUUCUAUAAUAUAUUAUUUCAUACAGAUAUAUAGAAAAAUUAUAUAUGAAAUUCAAUGAUGAGAUCCAAAAAAUCACCACCCAAACAAGAUUUCAAUCAUGAAAUGGAAAAAGCAGAUGCUUAUCUUCAAUUGUUAAUUGAUCAAAUAAAAUAAAUUGCAAUAAAAUAGGAAAGUAUAGAGACAGAAAAUGAAGAAAAGCAAGAAAGUUAUGCAGCAGUUUUGACACAAGCAAAUGCAAUGCUGAAUUCUGUUAAGUAUAUCAUCGUCCAAUUACAAAUUGCAAAGGUAUAUAUAGAGGACCUACUGAUACAAUGAAUGGUACAUCAUCUAUGAAUUAUGAUAUUUAUUUGAUUAUUUUCAUUAAAUUGUUCAUUUUGUUGUAAUUGUGUAUUGUAAUUUUUCGAAUAUUGAUUUAUGAAAUAUUUAUAGUUGCAGUUAUAGAAUCAACAGUGCAAAUUGGUAUUGAAUUGGGUUCAGAAUAUACAGAAUCAAGAAUACCUAAUUUAUCCCAUGAUAAUAGAGAUAUUCCAGUAUCUCAAUUUUUAUAUUCCUUAUCGAAUAAAGAUGAAGAUUAUUGAUGCUGCUGAUGAAUUGUCAUCUCCCUUGACAGUACAAAAUCAUAUCAUACUUAGAUGAUGAAGUGAUCGUUUUCAAUCAAUUAGAGAAAUUGCUGGAGAUAUGCGUAAACAAUCUCUAUUAUCACUUAUGAAGGGAGAUGGUUCUGUAAACUAUGAUGAUAAGUACCUAUUAAUUAUUCUACAAUAUAAUAAAAAGAACAUGAAAAUAAAACUGAAUUUACAAUAGCUGUGAAACACUUUAAUCAUAUAACAAAAUGAUGUUAUUUUUUUUCAUUUGUUGUAUGUAUAUAUUUUUAUUAAAUAUUUAAUAACAAUUUCUUUUAUAUAUUGUAAAAAUUAAGAAAUAGGAUAGUAAACAUUUCUUUUUUCCAAAACUUUUAACCAAUUUGCAAUGAAUAUGCUGUUCUCUAGAAUGUGUUUUAAAUGUCGAUAAUACAAAUUUAUCGGAAUUGACUUUACCGAAUGCUGUGAUUAUUCAUUUGAUAGUAUACCCCAUAAUAUGUGAAAUUCUGUAUUAUAUGGAUAGUCAAUCUUCUUUGAGAAAUUUAAUAAUUAAUUUUAGAAAGAACAAUUGAACCUAUAUUGGAAUAUUACAAAACAUAUAAUAAUAGUAAACUAUUAUACAGAGUUAUAUGAAAGUUUUAUUGAUCUUUGUUUUAUAUAUGAUCCAAUUAUUGAUGAUUUAUAAAUAUUAUAAAAUAUAUUAUAAAUACAAUAAAGUAUUUUGCAUUAACUAUAAUUAAUUUUGACAGAAGUGAGAGUUUUUAGGAAUCGAUACUAGUUACUAUAUUUUAAAAAAAUAAUAUGUUGAACAUAGAUAUAAAUAGUAUGUUAUGCAUUCAUCUUUCAAAAUGUAGAGUUAAGUUGAUAAUAGACAUUAAAAAAUAUAAAUCCGAUCAUUGACUUAUUUUCAAAAUAAGAAAAUACCUAUUAAUGUAUAAAUAUUGCAAUUGUAUUAUUUUUUUUUUAUGAUGAAAUGUGUGUAUCUACAGUCUUGUACGAGGGAGAGCUAGACAGAAAUGGAUUCCAUGGAAAUCCAUGGAUCAAUUGUGACACAUCUUCUGUCACAAGUAAAAAUUGAUAUGGGUUUAAUCGAAGUUGCAUUGUUUACCUUUAUUUUGGAACGUAGAUCGCUUUUUGAAAUGUAUGCAGAUUAUUUUACUCAUCCUGAUCAAUUUGUAAGAUAUGACGACAGAGAAAAAAAAGUACAAAUAGUACGUUGGUAUUUAUGCAAUUUUCAUGUUGGCUUCACCAAAGAGUGGAGACCCAAGUUUCAACACGUGGAGUUUGGUGCAUUUAGAAACUCAUGAGCUAAUGGUGACUCUCUUCUAAGAUCCACGUUCUGGGAAUGAUCUUCUAAUCGAAAUUUUGAGCAAUAAAACGAAGUCCAUGGUAGAACUCUUAAUCGUGACAAACACUCAGGGCUGUGUCCGCCAAUGCAUCCACGAGUGUUUUCCCUAUCCUAUCUGUACUCGUAUGUAAAAUCUUCGAUGAUAAAUCAAGUUGUCGGCGAUACAUUGGACUUGUGCCGAUAUAUCGAAUUCUCGACGAGCAACCACCGGCAGAUGAAGAAAAAUAAAGAAGGAAAAGAAGGGAAGAAGAGAAAAAAAAAGAAAUUAGUUGAGAAAGAAGAGAUAGAAAAGAAUAGUGAGAGAAGAAAAUUAGUAGGAAAGUGAAGAAGGUUAGUCAGAAAAAGACAAAAGAAGAAAAGGAAGGGAAAAAGAAUUAGUAGAGAAGAAAAGAAGAAGAGAAAGAGAAAAUGAGAUGAGAAGAAGAGAAAGCGAAGAUGAGAAGAGAAGAAGAGAAAGCGAAGAUGAGAAGAGAAGAAAAGAAAGAGAAGAAAAGAAAGUCGGAAUAUGCGCGCGCGCGAGUAAAAAUGAUGGAAUUCAGAACAAGAGGUAGACAUAUCGAAUAUUGUUUUACUUGAACAAAAUCAGAGUACCAAAAUCAAGCUCGAUUUUUCUUUGCUGCAAGGAGACCAGCCCAAGGCCUCUUUCAAAGACCUACACCUAAGUGUCCUUCCCAAGAGUCCCACCCAAGAGCUCUGCAAAAUACUAAGACAACAGCUUUCCCAAAGGCCUACACUCGAGAGCCCCACUCAAGGAUCUCACCCUUCUAGAAAAACUAGAGUAAUUAAUUUAGAAUAAUUAUUUAAACUAUUACAUGCAAUCAUUUGCUCAGCAGAACUUGCGUUAUAUAAUUUAGAUAUAGAUUUCGAUAUAUCGCAAAUAAUACCGGCUCGGAUCUUACCAUGUGGAGGUUGUUGCAGUUGGACAUUCACAGUACCAAUAAAGUAACCAUUAAAAAAUU